rnacentral:rRNA from 1 species
UGGGGAAUAUUGCACAAUGGGCGAAAGCCUGAUGCAGCGACGCCGCGUGAGGGAUGACGGCCUUCGGGUUGUAAACCUCUUUCAGUAGGGAAGAAGCCGCGAGGUGACGGUACCUGCAGAAGAAGCGCCGGCUAA